CUUUAUUUCAGUUCAGUUUCACUUAUUUUACCACCAACCAAACUGACACUCUAAGUUUAACCACUGGCCAACCGAAAUUGAUCCAGAAAUAAAUAAAAUCGAUUUAAAUUUUUGUUUACAAUUCAGUUGAUUUAAUCAGCUAAUUGAAAAAAAUUGCACACGUCUAAAAAUUCGGUAAAUCUUUUAAAUUAUCCCUAGUGUUCACAAAAUUUACAAACUGUACCCUUAUUCUUUAUAGUCUUAACUUAAGCUACCCUUAAGUUUUCUGGCAGUUGAGUAGCUCUACCCCUUCUGUUAGCAUCGUUAAUUUUUGUUAAAAUUGGUGUUUAAAAUUUUUUAAAACCCAAUAUCACCCUCAUCCCUUUCCUCUCGACCGGCAGCCCCUACUUUGACUGUGUUUACACCCCGCCAAAUUCAUGUCAUCCCCACCGGAAGCUUCCACCACUCCGAUUAGACCACCAUCAGAAGCCUCUUCUUCCUUCUUCCCCGAAUUCCUCCGGAGCAAGUCCUUCUUCGGUCCCAAAGGGAUGGGAUCUGACUCUCUCUCUCUCCUUGUCCCCUUCGUUCUCUCUCUCUCUCUCCUUUCCUUCGUUCUCUCUCUCCCUUUUGCCCUAGUCACGCAGCGGCUCACAGUGCGGCAACAACGGGCACAACUCCUGUACCUGCUCCGAAGUUGUGGCCGCUUCUAAAUCCAUCGGUGGAUUCACACUGUUCGGUGUUCGAGUUACCGAGGGCUCGAUCCAUAAGACCGUAAGCUAGAGCCUCGAUGCCUUCGAGUAUUUGCUGAGAUUAUAGUGUGUUGUUUCAUCUUCUGGAUUACUUCUCUUCCACUUCUUAAACCCAUCAAAUCCCCAUUGCUUCUUUGCUGAUGAUGCCCUCUCAUCCGGAUCUGGCUCCAAAUCAUCCACAUUUUCAUCUCUUUCUUCUCUUUGAAACAGAGUACGAAACGGUUUCUUCUUCACCUUCGCUUUCUCUUUCCUUUUCAAACUUAAUGGUUAAAGGUGGCUGCCAUCGUCAUCAUCACCGGACAAUGAAUAUCCAUCAUCUCCAUCAGAUGUGUUCCUUGCCCUGAUUUCAGAAAAGGGGCAUAUAGACACGGAAAUAUGUGUGAAUAUGCACAUGGAGUCUUCGAGUGCUGGCUUCACCCGGCGCAGUACAAGACUCGACUCUGCAAGGACGAGACAAAAUGCACGAGGCACGUCUGUUUCUUUGCCCACAUAGCUGAGGAGUUGCACCCCCUGUAUGUCUCCAUGGGCUCUGCUAUUCCUUCUCCUCGCUGAUCGCUGUGGGAGGAGAGGAGGAGAGGAGAAGUCUUGUCAACGAAGGAAGCAAUGGUUGGAAGUUGCAGAUCCCAACCGUUGGCUAUCCUCCGAUGUUAGACACCCAGAAAAUAGGGAGAUCAUUCAGUUGUCUACCGGUGGACGAUCGUCAAUUUCCCCAAGGUGAAAGUUAGGGCACUAUGGAGCCGAUACUUCAAAGCGGGCGGCUACGAUUGUUGACUCCUUGUCUACCCUAAAGGUGACUACCAAGCCCUUCCCGGUUAUUUCUCUUUCUAUCUCCAAAUCAUGGAUCCUCACGGUUCUUCAUCAUCAAAAUGGGACUAUUUCGCUAGAUACCUCCUCUCCAUCGUUAAUCAUCUCGACGAGUCCAACUCCAUUCAGAGAGACUCUUGGCACUGCUUCUCCAACAAGAAGAAAUCUCACGAUGUUUUGAAUGGAAAGUUCACUUGGGAGGUGCAUAACUUCAGAUUGCUCGAGAUGAUCAAGUACCUAGAAGAUAAUGAGCCCUGUUUUUCCUGCCCGUGAAUGUAACCUUCGGAUUAGUGUUUAUCAAAGCUCGGUCAAUGGGAUAGAGUAUCUAUCGAUGUGCUUGGAGAGUAAGGACACAGAGAAGUCAAUAAUUCUUGACCAGAGUUGUUGGUGUUUGUUUCGGAUGUCGGUACUGAAUUAGAAGCGUGGGCUUAAUCACAUGCACAAGGACUCUUAUGGUCAAUUUGCAGCUGACAAUAAGAGAGAGGGAGAACGAAGAGGGGAAGAGUUUGAGAAAUAGUAGAGGGAAAUUUCGACAUCUCUUUCUUAGUAUUUAACAGUGAUGUCAAUUUUUAAAAACAGUAAGGGUAUUUUAAGAUUGUAAGGGUACAGUUUGUCGAUUUCUUGAAUAGUAGGAGUACUUUAAGAGAUUUACCAUUAAAAUUUUCACAAAUUCCAA